rnacentral:rRNA from 1 species
CGGUGUUUAACUGGCGUGAUGUGGGACGUCCUACCGGUGGGCUUAGCCUCGCGAGGGGCGGCCCAACUAAUAUCCCGUCGCGGUGCUCUUUACUGAGUGUCGAGUCGGGCCGGUACGUUUACUUUGAACAAAUUAGAGUGCUUAAAGCAGGCUAUCCUCGCCUGAAUACUGCGUGCAUGGAAUAAUGGAAUAGGACCUCGGUUCUAUUUUGUUGGUUUUCGGAACCCCGAGGUAAUGAUUAAUAGGGACAGAUGGGGGCAUUCGUAUUGCGACGUUAGAGGUGAAAUUCUUGGAUCGUCGCAAGACGGACAGAAGCGAAAGCAUUUGCCAAAAAUGUUUUCAUUAAUCAAGAACGAAAGUUAGAGGUUCGAAGGCGAUCAGAUACCGCCCUAGUUCUAACCAUAAACGAUGCCAGCUAGCGAUCCGCCGAAGUUCCUCCGAUGACUCGGCGGGCAGCUUCCGGGAAACCAAAGCUUUUGGGUUCCGGGGGAAGUAUGGUUGCAAAGCUGAAACUUAAAGGAAUUGACGGAAGGGCACCACCAGGAGUGGAGCCUGCGGCUUAAUUUGACUCAACACGGGAAACCUCACCAGGCCCAGACACCGGAAGGAUUGACAGAUUGAUAGCUCUUUCUUGAUUCGGUGGGUGGUGGUGCAUGGCCGUUCUUAGUUGGUGGAGCGAUUUGUCUGGUUAAUUCUGAUAACGAACGAGACUCUAGCCUGCUAAAUAGGCGUACCUUAUGGUAUCGCGAAGGCCCCCGGCUUCGGCCGGUGGGUUUUUACUACCAACGUACAAACAAAUCUUUUUAGAGGGACAGGCGG